GCAUCACACCACCAGGAAUCUUCCCCCCGCCGCUAAUGGUGCAAGUGCCAGUCAUCAGGAAAUGCAGCCACUGUCUGUCCAGGCGAUGUCACCGCAAACCCACUUCAGGGAGAACGAGAGGUUAAUCGCACCCUCUCAGGGGCUUCUGACCACUACUCACGCCAGUCAUCCUGCUCAGAAGGUCCUUGUUUUACUACCUCCUAAUAACAUCAAACAAAGUGACGCUGCGACCGGCGGGUCCCAUCAGCACAGGCCUAAACACAAAGACCAAUCCAGCUCGGUUCUAAAAGGGCAACUCGGUCUUAAAGCCCCGGAUGAUCCAACUCCCAGCCCAAGGCACUCCCAACCCAAGAGUGACAUAUGGGAGAGAUCCAGAGGGCAAGGCUUCUCCCUGCUUCCCCCUGCUUCACCAGCUCAGCCACCUGAACCAAUGCAGGGCCUUCGUCUGCUGCACUGGCAGCCGGUUCCGCGCGGCGAAACCACGUUCCCCAAGCUGCCCUUACCAACGUCCUCCUGGUCCCCUCCGAAGAUCACAGUUCCGAUGGGCGAGGCGCGUAUGAUCAAGCUUCUACACAUAGAUGCUGGACGAGAAACGAUGUUUCCCAAAGCGGCUCCUUCGGCCCAAAUGAGCCGUCUCAUGUCCAUGGAGGAAUUGAGCAGCUUAGUGGGACGGAGGGAGGACGCUGAAAAGGCUCAACUGGGGUUGCUCAGAGUAGACCGUGGUACUGAAAGCACCAGAAGAGCCACCGCCUCUCCCAUCUCCUGCAUGAGGCAGAAGAGGAGAGAGGAGAAGGCAGGGAGGGCGAGAAGAAAACCACAGGUCUCAUUCAGACCAAAUGAAUCUAUCAUUCCUACACAAGAGGUUUGUUCCAAUAUACCUCAACAGCCAACAAAUGAACCCGCACACGAAGAGCCCGCAGCAGCUGAAGAGAUCCGCCCCGGACAAGAUGUUGCUAAUUUUGCUCAAUUUGGGUACUUUGAUUCUUUGCUGACUGGUCAGAGAUUAUUGGAUCAGGCUACAUCCACUUCAGCUGAGCUCCACGCCUUUGCUUCUAUGUGUAAAAGGCCUCCAGAGUGCCAAGAUGCUUUCACCAACACGGACCCGGCUUGUCCUCCCACACUUGUGGAUAAAGCUGUGUCGGCCUUUGUGGAUGCUAGUAAUCCUAAAUCACAACGCUCAGGGAAUCGGGGAUUUUGCAGCGAGGGCCUCGUUCAAGACACAGAGGAGGCCCCACAAAAGCAAGAGAUGAAUCUGGGUCCUGAUGGACGGCAGUUCAUAAGUGUCUUGGAUCUAGAAGACGAAGCCCUGCAUCAGGACUUAGUACAGAAUGUUCCCUCCACCCGCCCUGCUUCUCCUACUUCUGCUCAGUUGCAUUUACUUGCUACUUCUGUUAUAAGGAGUGGUGCUGCUGCUGAUCCACAACCCGCAGUCACAAUUCAAGAGGAUCCUGACUGGACGUCACACGAAGAUAUCCCCGAGGAGUCGCCGUCCCUCGGUGACAUUGAGCCCAACGGGUACCAACAAGGGGUCAUUCAACAAGAGACGGUAGAGCGAUAUGACUCUGAAAUCUUUCGUGCCAUAAAGACCCAGAGCGUUGGACCUCAAAGGGCCUCGUCCACACCUCCUACCGUCUGGUUCUCCUCCCGCAUGUUGGAGCUGGACGCUCAGUUGGCCGCUCUACAGGACAUUGCGGACAACCUUGAGAUGGACUUCUCCAAAUCCAGGAUGCUGGUGAACACGAUUGAAAAGCUCACGCCAGCCUCGGCUCCUGAGGUGAAGACGACAAAGGCAGUUAAAAAAAGCGUUAGACUGUCUGUCCCGCAGGAAGCAUGGUUACCACGACUGGACACGUUGACUGAACCAAAUGCCUUGGAAGAAGAAGAAGAUCAGGAAGAAGAAGAAAGUGUUCUUCACAAUGAUUGCUGGGCGUACAAAAAGAAGCCAUCGUUUCCUUAUUCUACCUCUUCUUACAGUCACAUCGCUGGUCCCUCCUACCUUCACCUCCCUCCAAAAGUGAAAAAUCAUCUGACUGACACACCUGGAACAUCUUCUGUCUGGGAAGAUGAGAAUCCGGGUCAGCCUGAGCUAUCCGAUACUGCAGAAAUGUUAGACGACUUGAUUAGGGAAGGUUAUUUAUCCCUGACUGAUCUGGAUCUGUCCAAUUCACACACUGCAAACCACAGCAGGCCGGACUGGCAGGAAAGUAGCUGGAUGUCGCAGAAAAGCGUCCGUCCGGAAGAUGAGAGGAGAGAGCUGAGGACCUGGAUGAGAAGGAAACAGAGGGAAGGACUGGCUGUUUAUCAAAAAACACAGAGAAAGCCUGAGGGAGAGGGAGCGCAAACCCUUUUCUACCUCUGGGGCAAAGAAAUCAACAGACAAGAAUCAAGCAUCUACUUGGGGAGCCAGGGAGGAAAAGAAAAAGUUGAUGCUUCUGGAGCAAUACGAUCAGAGGACCCGUGA
ensembl:lncRNA